UCCUCUCCCCUUCUUGCUCCCUUUUAACCUUUGCACGGUUUACCCCCAAAUUUAAAUUUCUUAUUUGCACUUAUAUUUUUCCUUGCUCCAGACCUUUGUUCUCUUGGUUUUCUCAAGGUAGGAAGCUGUCUCUACCCUCCAACUUCCUUAUUAGUUCAACUCCCAUUCCUCAGAUUUGCUCAGAGGAAAUGUCCACCGUGAGCCUCUGUCCUACCUUCCCAUCUUGACAUGGGUGCCAUUUCUGCUUUCUUUCUUUUUACUGAACCUACUUCCUGGAAAGUUCAUAUUACAGUGUGUUGGCUCACUUACUUCUCUGUCUCCACCUCUAGACGUGAGAAAAGGGACAUGGUUGAAUAUUUCCCUGGGUCACUUAGUGACCAAAGAAGAAAUAGAAGCCCCGAGAAUCCCUUAACUGAAUGCUUCUGUCACUGCCUGCUGUGUUAUCCUGAUGCUCAUGUUUCCGCAAAAGGGAGAUGGAGCAGCUCUGGCACGGCUGGUUCACAGUGGUCUCCUGUGCAGCUGUCAUCACCCUGGGGACUUUGGUGAACCUGGCCAGCACGGCACAGACCACCUCCAUCCAAAGGGACUGGAUUGUCAGCCUCAUAGGUGAAAAGCAAAUGCCAGCUCUUUGGUGAGUGGUGCCACUUUGGGCAUCCUGAGUCCUUUGAUUGACUGUAAGUAGGCUUAGUGAGUCUAUGAGUCAAUCAGGGCCCCAAGGGAGGUAUUUGUAGUUGAGUCCAGCUCAAAUCAGUUACAGCUCUUACAAGCUACAAGUUAUUUAACUUCUCUAUAUUUACUUCCCUUAUCUGUAGAAUAGGAGAAACAAUGACACUACCUCUCAACUCCCAACCCCAGCUCCAUUUGGGGAAGAAUUCUGUGAGAUAAAGGAUUUGUGAAGCACUGAGCACACUCUACCUGUACAUAGGAACCAUGUGAGAAAUAGAUGAAAUUAUUCCUAAGGAGAUAUAGACUGUACUUUGAAGAGAAAAAACGCUCAACAUACAUACAGAAGGCAAUUUUGUUUUUUUUAAAAAAAAAGGAAUUAAGAGUUUCAACAUUCUGGCCCAUGAUAAGCUUCCACUUCCCCCACAAAAAAAAGUUCAUCCCCCAAAGUUAUCAUUUUCAGUGAUAA